rnacentral:misc_RNA from 1 species
UUUCUUUGUAUCAAAUGCUGUCCUAUUUAGUGGGUUUCUUCCUCCAAAGUCAUUCCAGUAACCCAAAAUAUAAAUCCACUCAGAAGCGUCUGAAGAGACAUUUAGUCGUACAAAUUACGAACAAAAGAGCAAACAAGCAUUAAAGUUAACUAUUUCAAGACAUCGGCCCAUAAACUCACAAACCUUUUCCCAUUGGAGGCAUUUACAAGCAAGAAUGUGCCUUAACAAAUCAGGAAAUACCCAUUAAUAUAAAUCAUAAAAAGAAGAAAGAAAAUAAAGAAAGAAGAGAUCUCGACAGCGUUUUGCAUGGAAACUAAAGAAAUAAAACUUGCAGAAAAUGGAAAAAAAAAACAAAGUACGGAAUGGAACCUGCAGGUGAUUUCAGUGGAUUG